UACGUAGGGAGCAAGCGUUGUCCGGAAUCAUUGGGCGUAAAGCGCGCGUAGGCGGCCCUGUAAGUCCGUUGUGAAAGUCAAAGGCUCAACCUUUGAAAGCCGAUGGAUACUGCAGGGCUAGAGUCCGGAAGAGGCGAGUGGAAUUCCUGGUGUAGCGGUGGAAUGCGCAGAUAUCAGGAGGAACACCAAUAGCGAAGGCAGCUCGCUGGGACGGUACUGACGCUAAGGCGCGAAAGCCAGGGGAGCGAACGGG
rnacentral:rRNA from 1 species